rnacentral:rRNA from 1 species
UGGGGAAUAUUGCACAAUGGGCGCAAGCCUGAUGCAGCCAUGCCGCGUGUGUGAAGAAGGCCUUCGGGUUGUAAGGCAGCUUUCAGCGAGGAGGAAGGUGGUGAACUUAAUACGUUCAUCAAUUGACGUUACUCGCAGAAGAAGCACCGGCUAACUCCGUGCCAGCAGCCGCGGUAAUACGGAGGGUGCAAGCGUUAAUCGGAAUUACUGGGCGUAAAGCGCACGCAGGCGGUUUGUUAAGUCAGAUGUGAAAUCCCCGGGCUCAACCUGGGAACUGCAUUUGAAACUGGCAAGCUAGAGUCUCGUAGAGGGGGGUAGAAUUCCAGGUGGUAGCGGUGAAAUGCGUAGAGAUCUGGAAGGAAUACCGGUGGCGAAGGCGGCCCCCUGGACGAAGACUGACCGCUCAGGUGCGAAAGCGUGGGGAGCAAAACAGGAUUAGGAUAACCCUGGUAGUCCACGCUGUAAACGAUGUCGAUUUUGGAGGUUGUGCCCUUGAGGCGUGGCUUCCGGAGCUAACGCGUUAAAUCGACCGCCUGGGGAGUACGGCC